rnacentral:rRNA from 1 species
GACGAACGCUGGCGGCGUGCCUAAUACAUGCAAGUUGAGCGCUGAAGGUUGGUACUUGUACCAACUGGAUGAGCAGCGAACGGGUGAGUAACGCGUGGGGAAUCUGCCUUUGAGCGGGGGACAACAUUUGGAAACGAAUGCUAAUACCGCAUAAAAACUUUAAACACAAGUUUUAAGUUUGAAAGAUGCAAUUGCAUCACUCAAAGAUGAUCCCGCGUUGUAUUAGCUAGUUGGUGAGGUAAAGGCUCACCAAGGCGAUGAUACAUAGCCGACCUGAGAGGGUGAUCGGCCACAUUGGGACUGAGACACGGCCCAAACUCCUACGAGAGGCAGCAAUAGGGAAUCUUCGGCAAUGGACGAAAGUCUGACCGAGCAACGCCGCGUGAGUGAAGAAGGGUUUCGGAUCGUAAAACUCUGUUGGUAGAGAAGAACGUUGGUGAGAGUGGAAAGCUCAUCAAGUGACGGUAACUACCCAGAAAGGGACGGCUAGCUACGUG